rnacentral:rRNA from 1 species
CCGGGCGGCAGCUACACAUGCAGUCGAGCGGUAGCACAGAGAGCUUGCUCUCGGGUGACGAGCGGCGGACGGGUGAGUAAUGUCUGGGAAACUGCCUGAUGGAGGGGGAUAACUACUGGAAACGGUAGCUAAUACCGCAUAACGUCGCAAGACCAAAGUGGGGGACCUUCGGGCCUCAUGCCAUCAGAUGUGCCCAGAUGGGAUUAGCUAGUAGGUGGGGUAACGGCUCACCUAGGCGACGAUCCCUAGCUGGUCUGAGAGGAUGACCAGCCACACUGGAACUGAGACACGGUCCAGACUCCUACGGGAGGCAGCAGUGGGGAAUAUUGCACAAUGGGCGCAAGCCUGAUGCAGCCAUGCCGCGUGUGUGAAGAAGGCCUUCGGGUUGUAAAGCACUUUCAGCGGGGAGGAAGGCGAUAAGGUUAAUAACCUUGUCGAUUGACGUUACCCGCAGAAGAAGCACCGGCUAACUCCGUGCCAGCAGCCGCGGUAAUACGGAGGGUGCAAGCGUUAAUCGGAAUUACUGGGCGUAAAGCGCACGCAGGCGGUCUGUCAAGUCGGAUGUGAAAUCCCCGGGCUCAACCUGGGAACUGCAUUCGAAACUGGCAGGCUAGAGUCUUGUAGAGGGGGGUAGAAUUCCAGGUGUAGCGGUGAAAUGCGUAGAGAUCUGGAGGAAUACCGGUGGCGAAGGCGGCCCCCUGGACAAAGACUGACGCUCAGGUGCGAAAGCGUGGGGAGCAAACAGGAUUAGAUACCCUGGUAGUCCACGCCGUAAACGAUGUCGAUUUGGAGGUUGUGCCCUUGAGGCGUGGCUUCCGGAGCUAACGCGUUAAAUCGACCGCCUGGGGAGUACGGCCGCAAGGUUAAAACUCAAAUGAAUUGACGGGGGCCCGCACAAGCGGUGGAGCAUGUGGUUUAAUUCGAUGCAACGCGAAGAACCUUACCUGGUCUUGACAUCCACAGAACUUUCCAGAGAUGGAUUGGUGCCUUCGGGAACUGUGAGACAGGUGCUGCAUGGCUGUCGUCAGCUCGUGUUGUGAAAUGUUGGGUUAAGUCCCGCAACGAGCGCAACCCUUAUCCUUUGUUGCCAGCGGUUCGGCCGGGAACUCAAAGGAGACUGCCAGUGAUAAACUGGAGGAAGGUGGGGAUGACGUCAAGUCAUCAUGGCCCUUACGACCAGGGCUACACACGUGCUACAAUGGCAUAUACAAAGAGAAGCGACCUCGCGAGAGCAAGCGGACCUCAUAAAGUAUGUCGUAGUCCGGAUUGGAGUCUGCAACUCGACUCCAUGAAGUCGGAAUCGCUAGUAAUCGUAGAUCAGAAUGCUACGGUGAAUACGUUCCCGGGCCUUGUACACACCGCCCGUCACACCAUGGGAGUGGGUUGCAAAAGAAGUAGGUAGCUUAACCUUCGGAGGCGCUA